AUUGAACGCUGGCGGCAGGCCUAACACAUGCAAGUCGAGCGAGCGGCGGACGGGUGAGUAAUGUAUGGGGACUGCCCGAUAGAGGGGGAUAACUACUGGAAACGGUAGCUAAUACCGCAUACUAUCGGAUAACCCAUAUGGGAUUAGCUAGUAGGUGAGGUAAUGGCCUACCUAGGCGACGAUCCCUAGCUGGUCUGAGAGGAUGAUCAGCCACACUGGGACUGAGACACGGCCCAGACUCCUACGGAGGCAGCAGUGGGGAAUAUUGGACAAUGGGCGAAAGCCUGAUGCAGCCAUGCCGCGUGUAUGAAGAAGGCCUUCGGGUUGUAAAGUACUUUUGGCAGGGAAGCGUUACCUACAGAAUAAGCACCGGCUAACUACGUGCCAGCAGCCGCGGUAAUAC
rnacentral:rRNA from 1 species